CUCCCUCUCUCUCUCUUCCCCUCCACCAUGCUCGCUCGCUCUCUCUCUCAAAAAUAAACACUAAAAAAAUUGGUAAAAAUGGUAGAUUUUAUGUAAUGUAUACUUUACCACAGUUAAAAGCAGGAGGAAGAGGAAGAGAAGGAGAGGGGGGAGCUUCCAGGCAGAGAAGCAAAGAUGAAUGAUGGAGGAGUGCAGGUGGUUCCCUGGCUGCAGUGGGUCCUUGGGCCCCUUUGCUGUAGUACUUGUCUCAAAGGAUUGCCUGAGUCAACCUCCUCUUUUAGCAUCAGCUAGUUCAUGUUGGGUUUCUCUUCCUUGCAUCCAAUGGAGUCAUAACACAGAGGCUUUCCAUUCUCUCUUCUCUCUCGCAUCCUUUCGGACAUUCUCCACUCUUGUCACACGCUGCUGUCCACACUUGUCAGACUGAUCCUGUGUUUGUACUCCUAUGCCUUUCCUCCAGACUCCCUCUGCCCUUUCCCCUACUGACAAGUGUCGACUCCCUACUCUACUCCUCAUUUGAGACCCAGCUCAAAGGGCUCUUCCUCGGAAAGCCAUCCCUGACUACCCCGAGCAAGGCUUGCCAUUGCCCUCCUCUGGCCUGUCCAUGUCUUUGUCACCUAGUAUCCCAAUGACCUGCUUUCCUGUCUGCAACCCUCAUUAGGCUCUGUUUUUCAUCUCCAUGAUCCUAGUGCCUGACAAACAGCCUAGCACAAGGAAUCAUAAAUGUUUACUGAAUGAGUGAAAAAUGAGUAAGAAUCCUUCUUUCUCUCGUGCCAUCCCCCUGAGUCACUACUCAGUCUCCACCAAGUGGAGACACAGGAAAAAAAAAAAAAAAAAAGUAGGAGGAAUUGCUUUAGUCCCUCGAUUCAAGGGUGAUGGAUCCAGGAGGGAAGAAAACCCAGUAGGAAAGCAAUGGGCCAUUGCAAAGUUCAAUGGCAUUUAUGAGAGGUCAGCUUUCUGCCAAAGCACUGAUGGUGGCAGCUUUGAGCUGAGGCAGAGUUUGUUUGGACGCCAGUGCCAAGACAAGCAAACAUUCAGUGUUGAGCUUUUCAGCAAGCUUGGAUUCUGACAGCUGUGUGGGGAGAAACAACUAGAAGCCGUCUGGGUCUGCCUGGAAUCAGGAGUCCCUGUCUCCUUCAGACACAAUCUGACCCAAGGAACAAGGCAGCCUCUUCUCUACCCUUCAUCCCCACCACAGGCACACACCUCCUUGAAGGGACCCUGCCACUGAUCGGGACAUUUGGCACUGAGGACAGAGUAAAAAACAACUCUAGGGAGCUGUGGCUUUGAUAAUAUGGCUUACUAAAUAGUCCAUGGCUUCCCCCCUACAAUUCCCAGCCUCCCUUGCCGUUAGAUUCAGCUUGUGUGACAAGGUCUGGUUAAUAGUCUGAAUGGAAGUAAUGAGGGUCAUUUCCAGGCUGAAGUCUUUCAUUGCCAGUACAUUACCUUCUAUGUAGCAACCUUUCCCUUACUGAGGCAAUCCUGAAAGCCUUGUAUUGAGGUUGUAGAAGUGACCUGGAUCUCUGAGUUACCCAGUGGAGUAGAGGAUCGGUAGGCUGGAGAGCACCUUGAGCCAUAUCAGGCUUUGCAUGAGUGACAAAAAUAAACCUUUGUUGGGUUAAGCCGUUGAGCCAUUCGGGUUCUUUGUUACCAUAGCAGAGCCUAGCCUAUUCUGACGAAUAUAUAGAAAUUCAUUGUUGUUUUAGCCAUCCAGUAGCAAACCUCCUUACUUGAGGAGAAACAUGCCCCCUCCUUACGGUAUUGGUCACUUCUCUCUUCUUUCCUGACUUCUCAGCAGCAGUUGUCACAAUUGACAAUCGCAACAUUUCAUCUUGGGGUCUGUGACAUCACACCUGUCUGGUUUUUCUCCUCUCACAGUCCCUGCUUCUCAGUUUCCUUUGCUGGCUCCUCUUCCACUGUUUUACCUCAAAACUUUGAAGUUUCUUAGGGCUUAUUCCUGGGGACCUUUCUCGUGGUUGUAAAUGCCACCCAUGAGAAAGACACCUGGUACCUUCCAGUAUUCAUUCUACCAUUCUCUAUCAAUCACAGAGCCUCUAUUUUUAGCCAGGCACAUUGCGCCUAGUUAAAAGGCGACAUUUCUCAUCGUAGCUCAUUAUUUUGGCCAAUGAGAUGUCAGCAAAAAUGCGUGGGCCUUCCAGCGCAGUCUCUUAAAAAGAAAAGGGUGCACUUUUCCCCCUCUCUCCUGCAUGCUUCCAAAGGUGGAGCGCAAUGAGGUAAACCUAAGAUUGGAAACCAAGCGCUGAGUGUAGCAGAGCAGCUCAAAACUGCCUACCCUUGGACUUCUUUUUUGUGAAGAAAGAAAUCAAUUCCUAUCUUGCAUGCUCACAUCCCACCAGGAAGCCUGCGUACAGCAGAGGACAGACACCUCCAGGGGGAAAGAAACGCUGGGCCUCCUUCCGCAAUUGUGAAGUAACCUAAGUAUCUUUUGCUGGAAGUGGCAAUCAGCCUAUCCGCGAGGAAAGGCGAACCGAAAACUCCCAUCUCGAGGAUGAAGGCGGUAGGGGGUACAGAAUUGGGAAACGGGGCCGAGAAAAGCAGUCGGAUGUGUGGCUCCUCAAGAUGGCUACCCCGAACCCCAUGACCGGGAGGAAGCGGAGCUCCGCCCCAGCGCGCCGGGCCCCACCCCACUCGGCCCCGCCCAGCGCCU